GCCACGGAAACAGAAUCGCUGCCGCUCUAGCCGAGAGAUCUGGAUUCUAGAUGUACUGGACCCCAAGCUGAGAGAAUUGAGGUGAUUUUCAUAAAGCUACAUCAGUAGGUUUCCAGCUUGAACCACAAAGCAAAGUCCUAGCCAGUGUUAAGGUAUUUACGAGACUGUCGGCUUGCAACACUCGGAGAAAAAGUUCCCAUACUAACUUGCUCACUGCCUGGCAAGCCCUGGAUCCAUUUCUCCCUCCUGUCCUGGAGUCCCUGAGAAUCCCUCCUCUCGAGCAAUGUUCUAGCUUCUUGGGCCCCUUACAUCCUGCAGAGAAGCAAAGAUGGCCUGGCUGGAGUUCUGGUCUUACUUCUGUCCCUGAUACCCAGAGAACUUGUUUUUGCCUUCAAGCCUGCCUUGGGGAUUCUUGGAGUGGGACCUGCAGUCUGGUCAUGACCCACAGGAUGGCUCACAGGGCUCCAGGCCCCCACAAGAAAACUAUUGUUCAACGGAGACUCAGGAAGUGGCUUUCAUCGUCUUGACAGUUUCUGAAUGUGGCAAGGGGUGGCUACUCUACUGGGAUAAGUAGUUCUCUAGGCAGUGGCAUCUAGUUCUUUUUUUACAACCCCCUGUGUAGAAGCCAAAUGAAUAAAGCAAAACUCUCAGUAUGCAGUCAUAAUUUGUCUAGCCUGGAGCCUGUCCAGGAGAUGAGAAGGCUGCAGGGGACUGUGGCAGGGACAGUCCCACGCUAGGCACCGUGAGCGCCUUAUCUGCUCUCUGCCACGCAGCACACACUGACCUAGCACGUGGCUUUUGCCCCUAGGCAGAGCUACCUGUGUGUUGGAAGGCUAGCCCAUCCUCUCCAUCCCUCACCCCAGACAGCCCUCAAGUAAGGAUGGAGAAGGGACUAAGCGAUGGUGACUAAGUACUUCUUCUGUGGCUCCUCACUGGUGAGAGUGAGGGGGUGAGUAACAGAGCCGCAGGCAGGCUGAGCCCCAGGAGCCCAUGGCACAUACCAUGCCUAACAGCCACACUUCGCUGCGGUCUCUCCCUCUCACCCAUGCUCCUACUUCUCUACAGUUUAGCUGGAGCCUUGACCUCCCCCACCACACACAUCCUGGAUCCCUUCCCCUCUACUCGCAGGCGCCAGUGCCUGGACUUCUAUGCAGAAAGCUCAAGCCCUGCAUCAUCUGGUAGGGUCACAGCUGCAGAUGUAGACACCUCCUACCGUGGGUGGAUGCCCUCAUCCCCUCCCUAUCCCCUUCAGCCUCUUGGUUUGGAUGGGCUUAGAAAGUAGACACCUGGCUGAGCCCCAGGCAGCCCUGGCCUUGCACAAGUCUCUCUCGUAGGGCGGGGAGAGAUGAGCUAAUUCUGUGAGAGGCAGGAAGAAUGGCCUUCUGACAAGAAGAGGCCUGUCCCCUCUGGCUCUUGGGGCACUAUUGCAAGCUGCCUGUAUAGAGAAACAGCUGAGCCGCCUAGGAGUUGCUUCUGUUCUGAACACCCCUAACAACUCCAAUGAGCUCCGAAGGAAUAGAGGGAAGGGUGGGAACACACCCACCUCCUUUGUAGUUGAUAGAUCUUGUAAGUCAAUAUUUUGGGACAGUGCUUAUUUUCUGUGCCUAGUGUACUCAAGGGCAGCUUCUGUACCUGACAACUCUAAAACUAACUAACUAACUAACUAACUAACUAACUAACUAACUCUCUCUCUCUUUCACACACACGCAUACACACACACUUACAUGCUUUCUCCCUGUCUCUGCUACCUCUGUCUCUGUCUCUCUCUCUCACUCUCUCACACACACAUUCCUAAAUAAAUAAAAACAAUCUGCUCAGUCUAUAUAGUGCUACUUAUACAGAUGUUUUGAGGGCUGACCACUUAGUGUUGGACGGCCAUUCGGUAUGCUCUUCCUUGGUAAGCUGGUUGGUGUUUUUAAAAGGUUAACCUGACGACAUCCCAGGCAUUCCCACAUGGCCCUUGUUUUUAGUGGCCACUGUGGCCAUGGAGAAACUCAGCCCUUUCCCUGAGUGCAAUGCUCUUCCCACAUCUGCCUGCUUUCUAACACAGCUCUGCCUCUUCUCCAAAGUGAGGUUUUAAUACCCUGGGGAUCAUCCAACUGCCCUCCCCCCAGUUCCUUAGCCUGGGAAUGCUGGGCCCACAAGUUUCCUCCCACUGGUCCUCUUUGUUGAAGAGCAGAGCAAGGUUACAGGAGCCCAUGGCACAGCCCUCAGCGAGAUGGGAGUUGGGGGAACCAGGGUCAUUGCCCCAGUCUUCCUGGGUCACUCAGGAGGAGGGAUAGCUUCCUGGGGCCCAAACUGGACUCGCUUUCAAGCAAAUUCUGUCACUAGCACUGAGAACUAUAGGGCUGGAGUCUGUCUGUCCCUCUCAGAGCCUCGAUUUCCUCCUCUGUAAAUGGGUGUGCUAACAACAGAGCCCCAGUGACCUCUCCCAUGGCACAGAGAACACAGGUUUUGGCCACAACACAUAUCUGAUGGUUAGUCAGUUCCCACAGGCUGGCAGUAAAAUCCAGAGCCAUUUCCAUGGGAUCUGGCCUGGGAGGGGCGAAGGCCCGGCAGAAGGAAGGAAGCCAAGCCCUCCCCCACAGCCCAGCUCUGCAGAGUUCACAUGGGGGUGGGGGUGGGGAUGGUGUCCAGGAGGAAGUCUGUCCCUGGCCUUGAGAAGGUGCCCCAGCCUGCCAGGCAGGCUGGUGUUUCAAGGACAAGGCCUUGCCUUCCUGCUAUCUCUGGGGGAACUGGCAGCCACUAACAAAUCCCCUGCAAUCUGCACCCACCAAUCCUGCCUGCUCGCUGGGCAGCCAAGAGCCGUUUUUCACGGGGAGCUGCACACAGCUUUGUCUUAGAGAGACAGCUCUGGCGGGUGCCCCUGAAUGGGGCUAUUUGUCCUCCAUGCUGAAGGGAAGGCAGCUGAAUGCUCUGUUGGGGUGGGCAGAGGCAGAGAGGGUGGAGAAAGGCUAUGGGGGAGGGUGAAGGUAGAGAUAGCAGCCACGACACUAUGAGAGACCAGAAGUGCUGUCCACCACGGAGGUGUCUCAGAGUCACCAUGCAGCUCGGUGAGUGCAAAAAAAAAUCUUGUUUCCACAGCAAUGGGACACUGGUAUAUGACCGGCCUUCCCUGGUGUAAAGAGCCCUGGCUGGUAGAAGUUGAAAUGACCUGACUGGUUUUGGGUGCCUUUGUCCCAUCCCAGCCCCACGACAAAUUAACUACGGGGCUGCCACACUAGUGCCGUAGAAGGCCCCAUUCCAGCCCCUAUCCCUGAACUGAGAGCUCUAGAGUGAGACCCAGUAUCUCUUAAGAGCCUCUUCCACAGAUCACAGGCAGAGAGAGGCAAGGCAUGUCUCAGUGUCUCCACUAAGACCAGCUGACAUCUGACAGGCACAUGACUCAUUAGGGAAACAGAGCAGGCAUGCAUCUGGGGACUUAAAGCCAGCAAGCGACAUUAUUUCCACUCCCGUUCUGGGACCUGGGCUGCUGUACUGGAAGGUGUGCUUAGAACAGAGGUCAGAGGUCAGAGAACCCAGUAGACUUUACCCAUCUUGGGGAUGCAGACCCAAGGUUUCCAUUCAAAGGAUGCAGAACAUCUGCGUGAUGGUGCUACUCCACGAAGAGCAAGUAAGUGCACAUAACUAACAGGCAUGUCCUAAAACCACACAGCAGUCCCACGUCCACAGCCAGCUCUGGGCAGCCUGGCUGUGUUAAGAUUGGCAAACACCCUCUGCCUGUCCCCACUUGAAUCAUUCCUCUGCCUCCUGUGGUCCCUUCUCCAAAAGCUUGCUGGUGCCUGUCAGGAUGGCCUGGGUAUUCUUGAUGCCUCCCACAGUAGCUGGGUGCCUAUUCUACCAAUAGUCCCUUUAAACCACCCAAGCAUCCAAGCAUUGGCUAUGCCAGGGAGAAAAAAGAAGACAAAAAAAAAAAAAAAAGCAGCUGGCACCCCCACCUGUGCCCCAGCCCCAUUAUGGAUAGCUUGGGGCGCAUCUUCCUUUCCUUUGGUCCCUGGGCUGCUUACCUUCUGGGCUCUGACAUUCUCUAUUCUGCUAUUUCAACAUGUGCUGGCUGCUCAGAGGGUCAGCUGAGGCUACAUAGAUCUAUUCAAGCAUAGACACCAGCGGAGGCAUGCAGGCAACUCUUGGGGACCCUCGGACAUGGCGACUGCCUGGUUUCUCGCUCCCAUGUAGGCUGAACAGAAGGCUGAACCACUGAGUGAGCGCCCAAGAGGCUGACAUUACAGUACAGCCUGCCAAGUUACUCUGGGCUGGCAUGCGGUGGUGGAGGGGGCUGAUGGGCAUUGCUACAGCCUUGGAGGAGAGCCUGGGAUGUGUCAGGUGCUGGGGGCUGGGCAGGUGACCUUCUAUCUAGGAAGGGGUGGGGGGUGUGGGAGGGUGCAGCCGGCCCCUCAGGAGCCUCAAGAUGAGGAUGCAAGUGCAUGUGCGCAUGCGUGCUCCUGCUCCCGUGCGCGCAGAGGCUAAAGGCUGCAGCAGAACAAAGAGUUGGGGGCUGGGCAUCAGAGGGCCCCACGUGGAGGCGGCUGCCUGGGCGGCUUGCUGUAGUGUCUGGGCUGUGCUCAGCUCUGCAUUCCGUCUCUGUCUCUCUCAUUUUCGUGCCAUACAGUGCUGCCCCCAGGCCUGAGCCUGCUCACCGUCACCACCCUGCUCACUGCCACAACCACGCACACAGCCCAACUCUUUGGUAGCAUUCUUGACAAAGCAUCUCCCCUCACAACAUGAUCUCAUUGCAGGGCCUUCUCAGGCCCCAGCCUGGCCUCCUGACAGGCGAGACAGAAGGCAGAAGGGUGGGAGAGGCGCCCAUAGAUGCAGCUAGUUGCGCGUGCACACACUGCUCAGCCAUUCCGUAACAGUCAUACACCACCCCCAGAACCCACACACAUCUGUGAACACCUAUAGGUCUCUGUGCACUGAAACCCCUCCACCAUCACAGGACUCCUCAGGUACAUGUGUUCAUACUCAACAGUCAGACAUACCAGGCAUGAGCAUACACGAGUAUGCAAACAGACAGACAGACAUGUGCAUGUGCAUGACAUACAGCCACACACACAGAGAUGCAGACCUUGUACACACAUACCCAUACAGUCAGACAUACCAGGCAUGAACAUAUAUGAUCAUGCAAACACACAUAUAUACAUACAUAUACACAUUACAUACAUAUGUACAUAAAUACACACAUAAUACAAUGUACACAUGCAUGACAUACAGCCACACACAGACCAUGUACAUACCCACACAGCCAGAAAUACCAGGCAUGAAUACACAGGGAGAUGGCCUUGAACACACUUAUAGCACUCCACACUCACAAUGCACACAUGCACGAUACUUAUAGCACUCGACACUCACAAUGCACACAGGCACGAUCCACAGCCACGAGACGCACAUACUUCACAUAAAGACACACAUGCAUGCACAGCCAUACACAUGUAGAGCCACAUGUACCCAGUGUGGGGUUAAAGUCUGAGAGCAAGGAAACUCGGAAAGUCACAGAAAGUCAAGGAAGAUAGAUAUGGCCAAGAAUAAUGAGGAAGGGACAGUCAGCAGAGGCCCUCAGGGAGGAAGGACAGCAACACUGCACAGGCAACUAGACAAAGUGGAGCCUAGGCAAAUGGGGCAGACGGGGGGGGGGGGGGGGAGCAGCUGGGGUGCCAUAGUCUCUGAGCACAGAGUGCCAGGACCAAGGCCUCUUGGGAGACUUAGGAAAGCCAUGUGCACCAGAAGGGCAGGUUACAUCUGGUCAUGGACCCACUUAUCCACAGAGCUAAGGGGGAGUGAUGUGCAUUUUGGGCGGAAAGGAGGGGUCAGGAGAUGUGUUGCAGACAGACACACGGAGAACGACGGCUGGAAAGUGGCAUGUGCUGGUGUCCACCAUGUCAAGUACCACCUGGGCAUCUUUCCUGGCCCACAUUGAGAGAGCCAGCCCUCUGAGUUCCCAGAGGCAUCUGUGCACCAGGGCUGCAAGCCUCCAACCACAGGUCUGAGCCAGGCAAGGUGGCUGAGAGAUCAACCUUGGGCCCAGCAAGCCCCUCAUCCCUUGAAAGAAACCAGCUGAGAGCCUGCAGCCUAUCAAGCAGGGAUGCCCUUACACACCUAGGGAAGCUGGCGAGUCAGGACUGUUGGGUCUGAGGGGUCUGACAGGUCUGCCUCCUAACAAGGGGACAUUCCACUUCUGCCAAGGCACAGGCAUGCUGGCUUACCAGCUGACAAAGGAGUUACAUGGACAAAGGAACAAACGGACGACACUUUGCCUUAGGCCCAGCACGGGAAGGGGUGCUGUGAACUGUGACCUUGCCCAGCUGUGACGCAGACAGGGAGAACAAACCUGAGUGUCAGAAUCAGAAUGCUGAAAAUGGCUCUUGGAAAGUGCAGCAUCCUGCUGCCGUGCCAAGCGAGAGGAUGCUUGGAUCCUAGACAGGAGUCAGCUGAGAUGGAGCAGGCAAAGCCCUCAGAGGAGGCUGCAGUCCCGGUUCCAGCUGGAUCGUUUGUUAGCUGUGUGACCGCAGACAACCCCCAAGACUUUUCUGAACUUCAGUGGCCUCAUCCGUAAAUGUAGAUAAUAUUCUGUGCCUCACAAAGCUGAGGUUUACUGUGCUUUAGAGACUAUUGUAUGAGCCAUUGGGAGAGGGGUUUAAAAGACCCAGAGGUCAGGUUUCACAGGGCAUGAGGCUUCCCCCUGUACCAAGGACUACUUCUGGCUUCCAGAAUGCCCAUUCUCCCAUUGGCCUUGUCUCUCUUUGCCUACAUGAUCUUUCUUGACUUUGCCUAUUAUCUACCUAUCUAUCUACCCAUCUAUCCAUCAUCCAUCCAUCCAUCCAUCCACCUAUUCAUCCAUCCAUCCACCCACCUACCUAUCUACCCAUCUAUCUAUAUCCGUAUGGAACCCAGGGUCUCAUAGAUGCUAGGUGUCCUGGUUAGUUUUCUAUCAGCUUGACAUAGGUGGGGUCAUCUGAGAAGACAGAACUGCACUUGAGACUAUGCCUCCAUCAGAUUGGCCUCUGGCAAGUCUGCGGGACAUUUUCCUGACUAAUGAUUGAUGUGGGAGGGCCCAGGUCACUGUGGGUGGUGCCAACCCCAGGCAGGUGGUCCUGGAUUGCAUAAAUAAACCAACUGAGCAAGCCACGAGAAGCAAGCCAAUAAGCAGCAUUACUCCAUGGUCUUUGCUUCAGUUCCUGCCUCCAGGUUUCUGCCUUGAGUCAGCCCUGACUUUCCUUCCUGAUGGAAUAGGGUUAUCUGUAGAUGGAAAUAAAUCCUUUACUCUCCACGUUGCUUUGGAUCAUGGAAGUUUAUCACAGCAAUAAAAAACAGCAAAGACACUAGACAAGCAUCUUACCACUAUGCCAUGCCCCAGUGGCCUCCUUAGAGACAUGACACUGUCCCCUAUGUCCACACUGAUCUCUGGCCUAUAAAGUUAUUCUUUGUGCUAGCAGAGAUGGGAUGUCAUAGCCUGGGAUUUUAGCCAUGUUCCCAUUACCUUUAGGACAGAGAACACAACCUUUAAGACAGGGUCUACAUGAUUCAGCUGCCGUUGGCUUCAGCAGCCUCCCUCUGGCCCUGUGCUCUUGCCUCUAGGUUUCAGAACUACCGUCCUUGUUUUAAUUCUGACACAAAGCCCUGUCCUCUUCCCACUCAAGGACCUUUGCACAUCGUGCUCCUUUCACCUGUGAAGGAAUUGUCACACAUUCAACUCUUGCUCAACUUUGGGAAGCUUCCCUUGACCCUGCUCCGAGCCUUCCUUCACAGCACUGAGUACGGCCUGAACCUGCAGACACUUCAACAAGCGUGUACUCUCCAUGUGCAUGCAUGUGCACACCCCCCCCACACACACACAUUACAGUCAUCUGUCCACUUAGUCCGAAGCAAUCAAGAGUGUUAGUCGUCCUGACCCACUCUCCAUGCUUUACGUGUUUCUAGAACUUACCACGACCCCUGCAAGGCAAGUCUCAUUAUUCCUACUUUCCCAAGGAAGUCAAACUGAGGCCUAGAGAUCACAGCUAGCAAGGGCACUCCCAACAGUCAGUUGUCUGUGUUUUUUAAAAUCCAAAUGGAUCCACUGUCUACACAUAUUUAUGAGGCAGGUGUAAAAGUGGAUCAUUAAGAAAGCAAACAAACAGAAAAAUGGAGAUGGGAGUCCAUCUUUUUUUGCCCAGGUUGCCCCCAAAUCCCAGUAACUCUAAUGUGUUCCCUUCAAAACAGAAUGCAGGCUAGGACCUUCCCAGACCUCUGUCAACACGGACUCAGGAGCCCCUUGCUGUGGCCACGUCUCAAUAGACAAUGUUUUGCAGAAGACAUUUUUUUUUUUUUUAGAAAUGCUAGAUUGACAGGUUCUGUUUUGUUUUUGAGUGGGUUUUGAAUGAAUGAGUAAAUGAAUGAAUGAAUGAAUGAAUGAAUGAGUGAAUGGUGGGCAAGGAUCACUGUGCAUACUAACUGCAAUACUGACCUGACUAUGUAUAACUCCAUGACCAGGAAAACCUCUUCUGCUUCCCUAAACCUCACUGUCCUCACUGGUGCAAUUGGAUAGAUAACACAAGGCAUUCGCCAAGUGCCCACAGCAGUGAUGGCACGUGAAGAUGCUUGACCUGCCUUUAGGUCAGUGCCUGUGCUGGGGUGUAACAAAUCUGAGUGUUGUCCCUCUGCUGGGAGACACCCAGGGCUGAGCCCUAUCUGUAAGCCAUAGAGCUGAUCACCCUUGGAGGCUUGCACCGCCCCUAGACCAAACAAGGCUCCUCCCACCUUCUGCAUCCACCUGUCAAGCCCCAGACAGGUCAGUACUUACCAGCAGACUUGGGGGUGAACUUGUCUCGAUUUGCGGCGCACACAGCCAAGAGUCUGUAGCCCAGGUCCAGGUCAAACCCUUGUUGGGCAGCCACACGGCUGACAACCUGACAGCAGGAAGAGGAAAUCCAGGGUGAGUUACCAUUCCCUCAGAGCUGAGCCUGAGUAGG